rnacentral:rRNA from 1 species
CCCUUAGAUGUUCUGGGCCGCACGCGCGUUACACUGAUGCAUUCAACGAGCUUAUAACCUUGGCCGAGAGGCCUGGGCAAUCUUGUUAACGUGCAUCGUGAUAGGGAUAGAUUAUUGAAAUUAUUAAUCUUGAACGAGGAAUUCCUAGUAAACGCAGAUCAUCAAUCUGCAUUGAUUACGUCCCUGCCCUUUGUACACACCGCCCGUCGCACCUACCGAUUGGAUGGUCCGGUGAAGCCUCGGGAUUGUGGUUCUUGCCGCUUUAUUGUGGCGUGACCGCGAGAACUUGUCUAAACCUUAUCAUCUAGAGGAAGGUGAAGUCGUAACA